GCCGGGCGCGGUGGCUCGCGCCUGUAAUCCCAGCAUUUUGGGAGGCUGAGGCAGGCGGAUCACUUGAGGUCAGGAGUUUAAGACCAGCCUGGCCAAUAUGGUGAAACCCCGUCUCUA
ensembl:misc_RNA Metazoa_SRP Metazoan signal recognition particle RNA